rnacentral:lncRNA from 10 species
CUUCUCUCUGCCCGUCUCUGCUUCCCCCCCCUUCCCCCCCCCCUUUUCUCCCGGCCGACGGAGCUGAAGGGGCGGGGGUUCCUUCCUUGGAGUGUUUCUAGAGCUCGGAGGCUGCUGGUAGGGGGAAGUUGUACCCGUCAGCACCUGCUGAGGGCUUUGUUGUCCAAACCCUGACAGGUAAAAAAAUUCCUGCAGAAUAAAGCCAGACCAGCUGGCUUUGAAGAGAAACCCCCCAGUUUGGGCUGCGUUUGCCUCCUCUCCUUUUCUAUGAAGACCGAGGCUUUGCCCCCUUGAUCGUCAAGCCGUGAGAUGCGUGAUCUCUCUGCACAAGUGUCUGGCAGGCCGAGGUGCACCUGUUUCUGUCACUCUGGAGUAAAUUUAGCUGUAAAGGUAUCACUGACAACCAGACCUUUGUCAGUGCUGGCAAAAGAACACAGAAUUGCUUCCCUCCCCUCCCCCCUCCCGACCCCCUAUGCUGCUAGUUCCAAUGGAAAAUAUCCAAUCGGAAGUCUAUCCAAAAAUCAUUCCUAAAAAAUGAAAUUGCUUUCAUAUGGUAUAAAAAAGUAAGUUUCCUCAUUUCAAGCAGAUUUUAAAAUUACAUUUCCAAGAAUAAUCUUGGAACAAGACAAGUUUUCGUUCAAUUAAUUGUGGCUGGAAACUUUUUAAUGGAAACAUAGCACAUACUUACUUCAUUUCAGGUUAUUAAAUUGUGUUAAGCAUAAAAGUUAUUUGCCAUUCUUUGUUGCAGCUCAUUUGUUCUUUUCGAUUCUAAGAAAUAUUAGAAGGUUAAAUAACUUAUCACAUAGGAGAGAUUAUUCAUACUACCAAAAUUAGAAUGUGUGUAGUUCUGAGGGACUGAAUGUCAAAAUUGUAUGCUCAUAGCACUAAAACUAUUGGGAAUCUAGGAUGCCACUGGAACAUGUAAAAUGGCAGCUAAGGUCUAUGGAAACCCUUCAUGUUUAGAAACUGGCUAAAGCUUGAGUUCUCUUAUCUUUUGGUUAAGGUAAGGACGUUUAUCAUUUAUGUGAAUGUUUUAGACUAAUUUCUUUAUUAGUGGUUUGAGCAAUAUUCCUUUUGAGGAAAAUAGAGAGGCAGGCAAUAUUCAUUAAUAUGUCUGACAUAAAUAAAAUAGUCAAGAUAUAUAAAGCAGCCCAAGGAGUAACAUCCUUAGCCAAAGCAUUCUGAGCUUCUGCCUUAAUAAUUAUGAUUUCUUAAGUGUUGUUAAAAAGAGUUGUACAGAGUACCUGUUCUACCAUAUUAUUGCUGUUUACAGGAGUUGGGUGUGAUGAGAAAAGGAAAGCUGGGUCAAAAUAAAAAAUGCUUUGUAAAAUAAACAAAGUUCCUAUUUACUUACUAUGUAUAAACAGCCACUCACCAAGCCUCGUUUCUCCACAGGGCACCACUUUCAGAUAAAAACAUAGACCUGAAUGGCAUCAUCCAGUAUCCAAGGAAACCAUGUUCUCUAAACAUGAAUAUGCCUUUGGGGGAAGACAGAAGAACAUGGAAGCCAUGUGAAAAAAACGGAUCCUAAGGCAGUUUUGAACAUCUGGAGGCCUGAUUUAUUGGAGAUUGCAAAUGUACAGUGUAACAUAGCUGUGGAGAGCGAGAAGAUCAGGAUUGUCAAUGCUGUCAUUGCUUUUACUGGAAUCCCCAGCACGAAUUGAAGGUCUCACUUUGCCACCUAGGCUGGAUGCAAUGCAACGGUAUGUUGAUCUUGGUUCACUGCAGCCUCAACCUCCUGAGCUCAUGUGAUCCUCCCACCUCAGUCCCCCACGUCGCUUGGAUUACAGGCCUGUGCCACCACACCUGGCUAACUUUUUUUGUAAUUUUUGUAGAGACAGGGUCUCACUAUGUUUCCCAUGCUGGUCUUUAAUGCCUGAGCUCAAGCCAUCCGCCUGCCUCGGCCUCCCAAAUUGCUGGGAUUACAGGCAUGAGCCACCAUGCCCAGCCUAAUUCUUCUAAAUCUUAUCCUAGUAAUUAAGCCAGAAUUUUUCUCUGCCAAGACCAAUAGAUGGACCAAGAAGUACUCAUCCUUGUAAACUUUCUUUGGAUAAAUUGCUUACAUAUAAUAAAUUCAGAGUUAAGUAAUAAAAAUAAUGAACUACUGUCUUG